GGGGGCCUGAGGAGCCGUGGGGCACCCACCGGAGUGGGGAGGUCCCGGGACAUACCGGAGAGGUAUGGAGUAAGGGUGCAGCGCGGGGAGCGGUGGCACCCGCGGGGCUGGAGGCGCCGAGAGCGGCGGGGACGGAUGUGCUGUCGUCUCGCCUGAUUUUAUUCCUUCCAUUUCCCUCCAUAUUUAACAACCCAGCUUUUGCCUCUGGUGGAAGCAACUAACUGGACCAAAAUAUGAAGGCAGCAUUGUCAGGCUUGAGCGAUGUUUAGUUCCAAGAAUGAUGUGAAAAAGAUGUGCUUUCCUGGGUAAAAUGACCGUCCUGAAGUAAGUCCUACACCAGAAUGUGAGAGGCAACUACAGAGGGUCUCCAACCCACACUCCCAUGCUGUCUCAGGUGACAGCCCUUGCUGUUUUGUCUCCUGGACACCUAGCAAAUAAGUCUUUAUUUCUUUCCACCUCCCUCUCCCUUUCUGCAAAGGUGCCAAAUGCAUCUCUUUUGUGUUGGUCUGCUGAAAUCCGUAAUGGCAUGGGAUAAGCGGCAUUUAACAUCAGGCAGAGUGAAGGAAGAACAGUUAGUUGGAUGGUCCUCUCUGUUCUUUGCUCUCUCCUGGCCAAUAUGUGAGGGGAAUAGUAGGAAGGUAGGAAGGCUGCAGAUCUGCACGGAGAAGGGAAAAAGUACUCAUGAAGGGGCACAGUUUGUCCAUCCCAAAGCAAACGCAAGCCACACUCCCCCAGGGGUGAGAGGCACCAAGCACCUUCUCAGUGCACUGCUGCAGGGCUGCUGAACGUUGUGCUGCCUGGAGCAGAGUGCCAGCUGAAACUGAAGCUCCGACCAAGAGAUUCCCAGGGGUAACCUGCCAGACCACGAUGCAAGUUUACACAAAAUAUGUUUGCUCCUGCCUAUAAAUACCUUCUGGAAGCGUGAUUGUGAUCUGACACUGCUUUAUUGGUUGGGCUGUGCUAAUUAUAAGCCACCCUAGUGGGAGAGUAAGGAGAAGGAGCGAUGUGCUUUCUCCAGCACCGAAAGCCUUAUGACUGGCUUAGCAACAAACCUUUGUGACAGAGUUUCAGACCACAGAAGCUGAAGUUCCUUUGUGCACAGGGAAAAAUGUUAAGGGUCAGCUGUGAUUAACCCACAGAUGGCAAUAACAAAAGCAAUUAUAUGUCCAUCUCAGCGAACUGCAGAGUCAAUUACAUGUUCAUAAUGAGGGCUAUGCUCAUGCCGAAAACUGGGGUGUCAUGAGAAGGGACGACAGAUGCACACCACAGAAAGUUGAUGUGCUUUGUUUUGCUCUGUGCUGCUCAUGUGACGAUAAGGUUCUCAGAGGAAACUCUUGUAUUCUCAGCAAAAGUUUGAAGCACCUCCUGGUCAGUAAUGGACUCAGUUGGAUUAAUCCUGGUGCAAUCAAGGUCAGAAACAGAUCAGAGGAAUACACCUGAGCAUACACAUACCUACCACCUGUAUGACCAGGAGUACUGCCAGAAGGCUCCAAAAUUGCUGAAUUCAAUAAAGUUCAAGAAUCUCUCUGGUUUCCUGGGAGAAGUGAUGUGCCUCUAUUUCAAGUAUUUUUUGUUUUGCUGUUACUCAGUUGGACCUUAAAAAUACGGACCCAUUUGUUGUGAUCAGACACUAAAUGGCUUUCUAAAAUAAAGAACAGUGGUAUUGGUCAGUUUUUUUAACAUCAGAGAACCUGGUCCUUGAGAUAUGUUAGAUGCUGCUUGCCUCUGAGGAGCCAGGAAAAGCAAGCAUGAGAGAGCAGUGACAGUGGCUGCACAUUGCCUGCAUGGAUGCGGACUGUCAGCUAGGAAAGCCUUUUGCUGUGG